AUACGGAGGGUCCGAGCGUUAUCCGGAAUCAUUGGGUUUAAAGGGUCCGUAGGCGGGAAUCUAAGUCAGUGGUGAACUCUUGCAGCUCAACUGUAAAAUUGCCAUUGAUACUGGAUUUCUUGAAUUAGUGUGAAGUGGUUAGAAUGUGUAGUGUAGCGGUGAAAUGCAUAGAUAUUACACAGAAUACCAAUUGCGAAGGCAGAUCACUAACACUAUAUUGACGCUGAGGGACGAAAGCGUGGGGAGCGAACAGGAUUAGAUACCCCAGUAGUCC
rnacentral:rRNA from 1 species